CCCGGCCAGGCACGGAAGUUGAAGCAAAGCCACCGCCUCCUGCUCCUGUUGCCAAGGCAGCGGAGAAGUGGAUCUGUCC
rnacentral:SRP_RNA from 1 species